GACAGAGGGUGCAAACGUUGUUCGGAAUUACUGGGCGUAAAGCGAGUGUAGGCGGUUUGGUAAGUCGGAUGUGAAAGCCCCGGGCUCAACCCGGGAAGUGACACCUCGAUACUGCCAAGCUAGAGUGUCGGAGAGGUUGGUGGAAUUCUCGGUGUAGAGGUAGAAAUUCGUAGAUAUCGAAGAGGAACACCGGUGGCGAAGGCGGCCAACUGGACGAAACACGUGACGU
rnacentral:rRNA from 1 species